rnacentral:rRNA from 1 species
AAGAAGCACCGGCUAACUCCGUGCCAGCAGCCGCGGUAAUACGGAGGGUGCGAGCGUUAAUCGGAAUUACUGGGCGUAAAGCGCAUGCAGGCGGCCUGUUAAGUCAGAUGUGAAAGCCCGGGGCUUAACCUCGGAAUUGCAUUUGAAACUGGCAGGCUAGAGUCUUGUAGAGGGGGUAGAAUUUCAGGUGUAGCGGUGAAAAUGCGUAGAGAUCUGAAGGAAUACCAGUGGCGAAGGCGGCCCCCUGGACAAAGACUGACGCUCAGAUGCGAAAGCGUGGGGAGCAAACAGGAUUAGAUACCCUGGUAG